AAUCUGGUAUGGCCCAUUAGUUUAUCUGAAUGGUGUAGUCCAGACCCAGAGCUGCCUCUGACAGGUUAUUUAGGUCCUGUGGUGGGUCUCUAUAUAAUGUGGUAUGGCAUGCUAUUUAUAUUGUGGUCACAGUGCCCUAAAGACAGAGAGUGGUUUGAGGAUUAAAAACAACACACACUCAAUUCUAACAACUCUUGUUCAGAAAUAGCUUUAAAAGCAACCCACUCAGAUGAAGCCUAACCACAUGAAGAAUCCAGAGCAGGUUUAUCAUGUAGUCAGCAGAUGUUUUUAUGGUUUAUUUUGCGAUUGCAACAAAUUUUUGCUGCCACAUUGGGACAGCUUUAUAACAUAUUGAAUUAAAGCUUGAAGUCCUUAAGAUAAUGGGAUACACAUUUGGGAAAUCACAAGAAGAAAGAAAGCCAUUCGAGUUUGGAAAGACAUGAAAAUGAAGAACACAAACGUCUUCAUGGGGUUCACAAACCAGUUGAAGGACGUCUUGGGACGGCUAAAGAGGACAAAGACACAGAUAUGUAGGACAUAAGGUUCUGAAGCAAGUGUUUUAGCACACAAUUAACCCUUUGAUACAUGGUGUCCACUGCAGUGGGCAGAUCUUUAAAAACUUUUUGCAACAUUCUAGGUGUGAUGUUACAUUCAAACCACCAUGAGUGACUAUCUGUAAUUCUUAUUCAUCAUUAUAUGCAUGAAAUUCAUAAUUCCAUUCUUACCUGUCAAUCAAACACUACACUAAAAAACAAAAGAGUUUUAAACUUUAAGUGAUGUACCAAGUACCUCUAGAAUAUUUACUGUUAUCUUUCCUUGCAGUGGACAAAUGGGUACCUCUCUCAAAAUACUUUUGGUGGAAAAAAAAAGAUUGGGAAUGAUAAUAUUUUUGCUUUUUUAAGUAAAAUAAACAAGAUUUUUUUUUCCUUUGUGAUUUAAUAAUUGAUGCAUCAAAGGGUUCCAGUUAA